GACGAACGCUGGCGGCGUGCUUAACACAUGCAAGUCGAACGGAAAGGCCCUGCUUUUGUUGGGUGCUCGAGUGGCGAACGGGUGUGUAACACGUGAGUAACCUGCCCCUGUCUUUGGGAUAACUUCAGGAAACUGGGGCUAAUACCGCAUAGGAGCUCCUGCUGCAUGGUGUGGGUUGGAAAGAUUCGGCGGUUGGGGCUGGACUCGCGGGUUAUCAGCCUGUUGGUGGGGUUGGGGCAUACCAAGGGUUUGACGGGUAGGCGGCAUGUGAGGGUGACCGGACACAUUGGGACUGAGAUACGGCGCAGACUGGUACGGGAGGCAGCGGUGGAGAAUAUUGCAGAAUGGGCGGAAGACUGAUGCAGCAAUGCCGCGUGCGGGAUGAUGGGCUUCGGGGUGUAAACCGCUUUCGCCUGUGACGAAGAGUGAGUGACGGUAACGGGUAAAGAAGCACCGGCUAACUACGUG
rnacentral:rRNA from 1 species